rnacentral:tRNA from 1 species
GGCUCGAUGGUCUAGAGGUAUGAUUCUCGCUUAGGGUGCGAGAGGUCCGGUUCGACUCCGGUCAGGCCA